UCAUAAGUCAUCCAGUGGGCUAGGCACGGUGGCUGACACCUAUAAUCCCCACACUUUCAGCCUGCCAAAGUGCCUUUUUUUGUGCCUUUCACAUAAAGACUAUGACACAGCUAAGCUAUUCAUGUACUAAUAAAUACCUGCCCUGAGCUGUGUGACCACGGACACCACCCUAUAAUGUGGCCAGUGUGUAGGAACUCUGCAGGCUCAGAUCAUUCCAGACAUACAUGCAGAUGUUGGAACUCCCUUGCACAGUGACUCAUGAUCCCAAGGCUGAGUGCUGAGGGCAGGAUUAACCUCAGCGAUUGUUGCUGGCAUCAGUGCAGCCCUGGGACCAGAGCACACCUGGGUGACUCGAAGAAGCCUUCCAAAAAGCGUGUGAAAAGGAAGCCCUACUCUACUACCAAGGUGACUUCAGGGAGCACAUUCAAUGAGAAUACAAGAAGAUAUGCUGUGCACACCAACCAGUGUAGGAGACCUCAUGGCUCCCGGGUAAAGAAGAAGAGGUACCCACAAGAAGAUGACUUCCAUCAUACAGUCUUCAGCAACCUUGAAAGAUUGGACAAGCUUCAGCCCACUCUUGAAGCCUCUGAGGAGUCUCUAGUUCACAAGGACAGAGGAGAUGGAGAGAGGCCAGUCAACGUGAAGGUGGUGCAGGUGGCCCCUCUGAGGCGUGAAUCUACUCCCCAUGAGGACACCGUACACAACAUCACUAACGAGGAUGCCUCAC
rnacentral:lncRNA from 1 species